rnacentral:lncRNA from 1 species
UCAUCCCUAUGUAACAGAUAGGGUUGUCUUUACAUUUAGACUUACAAUAUCCCCCUAUUUGUUUGUUAAUCAUAACAAGCAAAUCCUCUGGAGGAUAACUCAACUAACACUAGAAAAAGUAAAGUCCUGGACUAGUAAAUAAUGCUACAAAGUUUCUGGAUCAUAUAAUACAUUUCCAGAUUUCAUGAAUAGAAAUAACAGAUGUGCAUAUCACCUUUAUUUCUCUGGUUCUUGCUUACCUGCCAGAUAAUCCUCAUAGUCUGUCUUGAAGAGAAUUCAAAACAUUCCAUUAUGCAAAGAACAAUCAGCAGCUUCAUUGAAUUCUUCAGUGGUAAUGAAUGAGUUCAUGUCUACCACUUACUGAAGAAUAAAUGUAUCACCUUAUACUUCUCCUCCCGUUACCUUGAUCAGGUUCCCCUUAGUGAUAAGUAGUUGUCUCCCCUUAGAUGAAAGAUCAAUCCUCCUCCUUAGUUGAAAGAAGAAUCUCCCCCUCAGUAGUACACAGCUAAAGAGUAGUUUAAUCCCCCUUAGUUGUAGACAACAGAAGAAAGCUAACUUACUUUUUCUUCCCCCUUUCAUAAAUUCUCCCCCUAAAUAUAUUCUCCCCCUUAGUUGUGGAAUCCUCCGAGGAUAUGUGGUAUCAAAUAUGGUCAAGGAACGUGUACAAUACUUCCUGUACCAAAAGAUAAUCUCCCCAUAGAGAACUAAACAACGCUAAAGCUGGGGUCGAAGAAAGAGUUCAGAAGAAGGGUUUACUUUGAUUGGGUUGGUCCCUAUGCUGAAAGAAUAGGUUCCAAACGGAAAAGUAAUGAGUAAAAACUGACAUUCCAGUAACAACAUCCACUUUGUCUUUAGGUAUAAAUUUGGUAAUUAGUGGGUGUCUCACUAAAAUGUUCUGCAGGUGUAUCACUCAACACUCAAUUUUCUCUCGGUUUUUGGGUAAGGGUGUCACUCACGAGUUCUGUAAGUGUAUCCCUCCACACAAAUACUGAGCUUCCAAAAUGCUGAGUACCUGCAAGAAAAUCACCUUAGCCACCCUUAAAGGGGGUCACCGGUGGUGCAAUGGGAGUUCGUAAUUCCCAGUCCCUGUAGACUCAUCAGAUAAAUCCAAAUCAUAGUCCACAAGUUGCCAACCACUAAGUGGCUUAUCCAAUUAAGGAUCCAGAAAUGUUUGCUCUGGGAGGUUAGACAAAGGCUUAAUUAUGGCAAAGGCCUAAGUCCUCCUCAAUGUCUGUGAAGACACUUGAUUCAAGAGAAUCAUCAACCAUAAGUUCACAACGUGAAAUGGAAUGUACCGUAGUUGCUUCCAUCAAUUCUUUCGACAACUUGUGAGCUUUCAAUACCAAUUAUUAUUAUAUGUACCUCACAAGUGUUUCACUUUUCUCAAUUUCCUAUGUGUUUGCACUCACUCAUGCUCACAUAUUUCUCAUUCAGAUAUCUAACUGGUUCUUCUCAGAAUCUCACCAAGUGUUUAACUCUUAGUGUUUGGCUCACAGUGUUUCUCUCAGCACUCAAAGUAUGGUCUUCUGUACCUGCAUGAGAAAAUCACUAUAGCCCCUUCAAGAGAGGUCACUGGUGGUGCAAUGGGGUUUCGUAAAUCCCCGAUCCUCAACCGACUUAUCAAUAAAUUGACUCAUAGUCAGAGAGUUGCCGAUCUCCUAUAAAUAGGAAAUCCAUUCCGAUUGGAUCCAGAUCUGUUCUUAUCUGGGGAGGGAGACGAGAAUCCUGAAGAUUUGGCAAUUGAGAUCCUCGUUUCCUCCUUACACCUGUAAAGGCAUCAACCAUCUUAUCUACCGUAAAAUGGUAAAUGAAGAAGUUGCUUCUGGAACAAAACCUUUAACCUUACUGUGCACUCUCUUGUAUUGUGUCCAUAAGAUUUUUUGUUU